UAGGGCCAUAUCACGUUUAAACAUUAGUUUCCGUAAGAUCACCAGUUAAGCAACAUCGAGCCUGGUUAGUACCUAGAUGGGUAAUCGUUUGGAAAUACCGGGUGCUGUAAG